rnacentral:rRNA from 2 species
CACGUAGGGGGCAAGCGUUGUCCGGAUUUAUUGGGCGUAAAGAGCUCGUAGGUGGUUCGGUAAGUCGGGUGUGAAAACUCUGGGCUCAACUCAGAGACGCCACCCGAUACUGCUGUGACUUGAGUCUGGUAGGGGAGUGUGGAAUUCCCAGUGUAGCGGUGAAAUGCGCAGAUAUUGGGAGGAACACCAGUGGCGAAGGCGGCACUCUGGGCCAGUACUGACACUGAGGAGCGAAAGCGUGGGUAGCGAACAGG